rnacentral:misc_RNA from 1 species
AAGGUUUGAUGAAUCGUUUAUCAACGAGAAUGCGAUCAAUGCCAUCAAAUCACUAUUUGGCAUAUUCAACAAGGAAUAGAACUGUCAAUUGGCCUCAUAGAGUAUAGGAUUCAACUUGGUCAUUAUACACAAUGAGUCACAAGAAGCUAGUUAUUGGCAAGAUGACCCAGACCACCUACUGCUUCAGAUAAAAAGUUUCUCCUGUAUGAUUUUGUUCAUAGCAUUACUUUCUGGUGAGUUUGAAGAAAUUCACCCUAAUUUAUCAUGGGAAGUUGCUUUUUACUAUUCUUUCUCAGAACAUAGUCUGUAAUAUGUAGUCCUCUUGACAGGAAUGAUUGAAGAGAAUUAAGCUGGAAAGCAAAUGUUUCAUUUGUGCAUCUUGAUUAAUCAAAAUUGAACUGCUCAUGGAGCAAAUGCUCCCUCCUGCAUAUGAAUACCUAAAGACAUACGAGUGGUAUUUGAUUGAAAUGACAUGGCAUACAAGUAGCAGCCCUCUGCUCAAGCUGACUAAAAAUAAAGGUUCAAAUUCUGAUAAAAAUGUUGUACUUACAAGAGUAAUCUUUUGUUUGUCUAAGACUGACUAAAAGUGAAGAUUCAAAUUCUUAUAAAUAAUAACAUAAUGGUGCCGCUAAAUAACAUAGCGAUAUCGUACCCUUCGUUUGUUUGGAUCCUUAACUUGGCA